AUCUAUGGCCAUACCACCCUGAACGCGCCUGAUCUCGUCUGAUCUUGGAAGCUAAGCAGGGUCGGGCCUGGUUAGUACUUGGAUGGGAGACAGUACAUCCCGCCUGUCCAAACCUCUGGGUGGUGAGGCCU
rnacentral:rRNA from 1 species